rnacentral:rRNA from 1 species
UACAGAGGUCUCAAGCGUUGUUCGGAUUCAUUGGGCGUAAAGGGUGCGUAGGCGGCGCGGUAAGUCGGGUGCGAAAUUCGUGAGCUUAACUCCGAAACUGCAUUCGAUACUGCCGUGCUUGAGGACUGGAGAGGAGACUGGAAUUUACGGUGUAGCGGUGAAAUGCGUAGAUAUCGUAAGGAAGACCAGUGGCGAAGGCG